AUGACCAACACCUCCAUCCACCUCUACAACGUCAACCAGAAGACGCUCCUGCAGUGGCACACAGAGAGGAGCAAGGGAAUGAGCACCACCUUCCUCCUCAGUACUGUCCCCGGACCAGGUGGACCUGCUGCUGGUACUCAGGGUGUCCCAUCACAGUCUCGGAAGGUGAACCCUGUGCUACCUCAGAGGCCGUUGCAGCACCCUCAACCUGAAGACCCCUCAGGGCUGGCAACCACACACCGUGGGCCUGUGGCACCGGCCCUGUAUGCCCUGAUCGUCUUUCCUGCCAUGAUCUCUGCAGCCUCCACCACCGUCACUGCUUCUCCUGACACAAUCACCACUACCACCCACCAUGCCAUCUCCAUCACCGCUGCUGCGCCUGCUGCUGCGCCUGCUGCUGCGCCUGCUGCUGCUGCUGCACCUGCUGCUGCUGCUGCUCCUGCUGCACCUGCUGCUGCUGCUGCUGCUGCUGCUGCUGCUGCUGCUGCUGCUGCUGCUGCUGCUGCUGCACCUGCUGCUGCACCUGCUGCUGCUCCUGCUCCUGCUGCCGCCGCCGUUCCUCGCUCCACAGCCUGGCAGAGGAGGAUUAGAGAGGAGGAGCUGCGUCGUCAGCGAGAAAGGGGUCUCCCUCUUAAAGAGAGGAAGAUCUUUACACACUUCCGCUGUGGCCGCUGUGGUCAGCCCAAGACCAAACAGUAUGGCCACAGCCGCUACAGGGGAGAGUUCUUCUGUGCCACAUCGGAGGGUCGCUCUGUGGAUGACUGGUUGAAAGAGAAGAGACGACUGGACCCGAAAUACCAGCAGCCGCGCAGGUGAAGGACAAUACACAACAAUGCACGUGACUCCUUUUAAUCUUUUUUCUAAUUGCAGGACACACCAACUUGACGUGCAGCAUAGUGUCACUUGUAUAUAUUUUGUGUAAUUUUGCUUGUAUAUAUUUUGUGCGUAUUUUGAAGUAUUUUGUUACAAAUUUGUAAUGUACAUAGUUUAAUUUUACUGUUGACAAUGUUCUCAAGCUAAUUCAAUUGAUGUUUUUGUUACAUAAAAAAUCUUUUCAAAGGAUCAGUUCAGUGUUGACAUCUUUUCUUUGUAAUUGCAUAAUGUAUAAUUUAUAAAUCUGAUGUGAACCAGGUUAAUGAUGAGGAUCGAACAUGAUCGUAUUGAUCCAUCAUGCCACAUCUAGUGAGAGAGUAGAACAUUUGAUCAGAUCUGUGUGUCCCUCACUCGCCCAAUCACCAGCUCCCGAUCACUUCACCUUGACACUCGCCCAAUCACCAGCUCCCGAUCACUUCACCUUUAUUCCAGGGAGACGAUCGUUCAGGGUAAAAGGCUUAUCUCCUGCCGACGGCCCCAGGUGGUCUAGGCGGCUCACAAUACACAUUGUAUAUCCUAUAGGUGUGACUCUGUGGGGGGCAGGUAGGAGCCCCAUAAAGGCUGCCUGGAUGAGGCUGUUGGUCUAGUCAAGGUCUAGUCUGAGGCUGCAACAACUUUGGGGAAGUCCACAAAAAAGAAAUGCAAAACUUUGGAAGGUGAGGUCUAACUGGAUUCUUUAUCAUCUUCUUUUUGCUAUCAACUGUAUAUGUGUUCAGCCCUUCAUUAAUCAUUACAUGUUGAACUAUUAUUUACAGAACAGCACAUUUGAUAAAACACAUAGAGAGAAAGUGGAUCCAGGAGUAUACAGAAGGUUUGUAUUUUUUUACUGCACUCAAUAUUAACUUGUAUUUUUCAUUACAUUACAGCAAUGAUGUGAUUGACAUGCUUCUGUUUUUACUUAGAAACAUCAAGGGUAUCUUCUGAGGACGAAUCCCUUGCCUGGCACUCCCCAUGGAGAUCAUCAUCCUCCUCACCCGCCACAAGCACUGCCAACAUUGCUUUUCCAGAGGCUGCCACCACCGCUGCCACCACCGCCGCUGCCGCCGCUGCCGCCGCUGCCGCCGCUGCUUCACUACAAGAACAUGCUGCUUGCUUAAAAAAGGAGGAAGGGCGCCAACAACAGCGCCAAGAGGAGCCCCAAGAAGAGCUCCAAGAGGAGCCCCAAGAGGAGCCCCAAGAAGAGACCCACGAAGAGCGCCAAAGCCAAUGCCGAAAUUGUGGACUUCCCAGGACCCUGUCGAAGGGGCAUGCCUUUUACAAAGGGCAUUUCUACUGCACACACACUGCAGGGCCUGGGGCAAAGUCUGCCAAUGAGUGGCUGAAGGAGCAGGAAGAAAAGGAAGCACCAAAAAUUCCCAGGACAACUGCCUUCACCAUGAGGAAAAAGUGGGAGAAUGAGCACAGUUUCAAACCUCCAGAAAACAGAAGGAAGCCGAAUAAACUUAGAAUCUGCCAGCUGUGUGGCCUGCCA
rnacentral:lncRNA from 1 species